AAAAAUACUAUUUGAAACAGUUUAAUUUCUGGGCAAUUUCGGUCAAAAAUUGAUUUAAAAAAGUGAAUAUUUCGGGAUUUUUCAAAAUGGCGGAUGAUGUAUAUGGAAAUGGGGUCUCUAAAAACACCGCAAAGGACCUUCUUUGUGCACAAAGGAACACUAAGGACCCCAAAGAAGUUUGUUAAGGGCACAAAGGACCUGAAAUUCCCUUUAAAGCAUAUAAAUAUUAUUAUUCCUGAAG
rnacentral:lncRNA from 1 species